rnacentral:rRNA from 1 species
CCUACGGGGGGCAGCAGUGAGGAAUAUUGGUCAAUGGACGAGAGUCUGAACCAGCCAAGUAGCGUGAAGGAUGACUGCCCUAUGGGUUGUAAACUUCUUUUAUAAAGGAAUAAAACGAGGCACGUGUGCCUUUUUGCAUGUACUUUAUGAAUAAGGCUCGGCUAACUCCGUGCCAGCCGCCGCGGUAAUACGGAGAAUCCGAGCGUUAUCCGGAUUUAUUGGGUUUAAAGGGAGCGUAGAUGGGUUGUUAAGUCAGUUGUGAAAGUUUGCGGCUCAACCGUAAAAUUGCAAUUGAUACUGGCAGUCUUGAGUACAGUUGAGGUAGGCGGAAUUCGUGGUGUAGCGGUGAAAUGCUUAGAUAUCACGAAGAACCCCGAUUGCGAAGGCAGCUUACUAAACUGUGACUGACAUUGAUGCUCGAAAGUGUGGGUAUCAAACAGGAUUAGAUACCCCUGUAGUC